rnacentral:rRNA from 1 species
UACCGAGGUCUCAAGCGUUGUUCGGAUUCAUUGGGCGUAAAGGGUGCGUAGGUGGCGGGGUAAGUCUGGUGUGAAAUCUCGGGGCUCAACCCCGAAACUGCACUGGAUACUGCCUUGCUCGAGUACUGGAGAGGAGAUUGGAAUUUACGGUGUAGCAGUGAAAUGCGUAGAUAUCGUAAGGAAGACCAGUGGCGAAGGCGAAUCUCUGGACAGUUACUGACACUGAGGCACGAAGGCCAGGGGAGCAAACGGG